rnacentral:rRNA from 1 species
CGCCCGUCGCUCCUACCGAUUGGGUGUGCUGGUGAAGUGUUCGGAAUGGCGACCGGGGGCGGUUUCCGCCCUCGGCCGCCGAGAAGUUCAUUAAACCCUCCCACCUAGAGGAAGGAGAAGUCGUAACAAGGUUUCC